UUCAUGUCGAAUCAUUAGUUGAUCAAUGUUGUUGUUUCUCUUGUGUGCAUUUGCAGUGCGAUGGAAAUUUUUUGUAUUCCUGUCCCCUUCUUUGAGCCACAGAGCUCUUGAUUUUUGUCUCCAUACAAUUUCUUCAUUCUUGAGUUGUUCCUCAAUCUCCAUUAGAGUAGCUGUUUUCCUCACUGAUUCCUCCUCUGUCAGCGCUCUUAGUUGUUGUGUUGUCUCAAAACCUGCUAGUUGACUUAGCAAUUUUGAUUUUUGCAGUCCCAAAUUACCUUCAUAAACUCUGCUCCAUUCUUUUAGCUUGCCCUUGAGAGCUUUUAACUUGCAAGCUAAAAUGUAAUCUGGUCGUCCUGAGAAUUCAAAAGAUGUCCACCAGUCUCUAAUUUUGUCAUCAAAACCUUCCACAUUCAGCCACCAAUUUUCAAACUUAAAGUAUGAUUUAGCUUGUUCCCACGCACCACAGUAUAGAGCCACAGGUGAAUGGUCCGAAAUGAACCUUUGUUGGAUAGUUUGCUUGAUGUUUCUGAAGCUUUCAUCCCAUUCUUCUGAAAUGAGAAAUCUGUCAAUUCUUGAAGCGGCUGUAUGAUUGUCCCCUUUGAACCAAGUAUAGUAGCCUCUUUCAAGUCGUAGAUCUAUCAACUCCAUAUCUUCUAUAAAAUCCGAGAAUUCCACCAUCGCUUUGGACCUCCUUGAACAUUCUCGUUUUUCAGAAGGGUACCUUGUAACAUUAAAAUCGCCACAAACCGCCCAAGGACCUUCCAUCAAUCCCCUCACUGCACCAAUUUCUCUCCAUACUAUUUUCCUUUCUACUCUACAAUUUGGGGCAUACACUCCUGUUAUGUGACAUUGAAAAUUCUGUAAAAGAGCCUCGAACUUGCAAGUCAAAGUGUAUGCACCAGUCUGUAACACCUCCCCUUUCCAUACUCUGCAAUCCCAUAAUAACAAAAUCCCCCCUCUCGUGCCGCUAGCUUCUAAUCUUGCAUACCUCACCCAUCUACCACCCCAUAUUUGACUGAUUAUUUCCUUGAUAUCCCCCUGCACUUUUGUCUCUUGCAUGCAUAUAAUGUCUGCCCUCCAGUUCUGCACUUGACUUUUUAUGAUCUCUUUUUUCUUCUUGUCGUUUAAUCCCCUUACAUUCCAGGAAAUUACUUUGAUCUUCAUAUUGAAAUGAUUGAUAGAUCUCUUCCCCUACUCCUUUUCCCGUCACUCUUGAAUUUGACAUCAAACGAAGUUAAACCUUUUAAUUCCAGUGAUCCUUAGAAUAUUUGUUUCUUCACCUCCAACUCUGUCUCCACCCUUCUAACCUGUCUGCAACUGUCAAUUUGCAUUAACAACUCCAAUGCUUCUUCUUCAUGGCCUUGAAAAUCUACUCCAAACAUUUUCCCCAAUUUGAUAAUAUUUUGAUGGACCCAUAGUGUUGCAUCCAUGUCUAUCCAUUAAUGGAUUGUGUUGCUGAACUGCUAUAGGAUUCACCUCCUCGAUUUCCCAAUCUUGGAUAGAGCUAAAGUGCUUUAGUUGUUCCAAAGCACUUCCAACUUGAUCUUCCCCCAUAUUUGUGUAUAUGCUCUGCUCCCCUGCCUUCUGUUCCAGUCUUGCUAUCUCUGUUCCACCUUCUGGCUGACUGCAACUGUUAAGUGUUGCCUUUGGCAUACUUUCAAGGUUUUCAUUGGGGAUUGGAUCCCCUGGAGUGGACUCUUUUGCCCCUAGGUAAGAAGGUCCUCCCAUUUCCUCAAUACAAGGCUUCAGCCUAAUAUCAUCAGAAAACUCACACGAGAGAUCAUUAAAAAUGACUUGUGCAGCCAAGUCGGAGUCAUAGGAUUUCAGCUCGUUGUUUGUCACUUUACUGCUCUGAUUCAUCGAACUCGAACCUUGUGUAAGUUGCACACUUGCCUUUCCUUUAUCAGUGUUUUGCAAUAUGGUGCACCCCACUUGAUUGUUCAAAUAUCUCUCUAUUUCAAAACAUUGUUCGUUUUCUUGCAUCUUCAGCUCAUAUCUUGUCUGUCUUUCAGCCCAGAUUGGGAUGAAAAAUUUGAUACCGUCUCUUUUAAUCCCAACCUCAUUGGGAGUCUUUCUGCCAUCACCAACAAUUUUAAUUCUUGCCCACUUAAGAUGAUUUUUGAGAUCAGUUUCUUCUUCAGUAGCUAUCCAUCCCCCACAGAGAUCUCCUAUUUCUUUGAAGAUCUUUUGUGACCAUAGAUGUAAAGGAAUCCCCAUGGCUCUAAUCCAGCAUGUUUCCUCGAUUUGUGAGUUUGGAAUGCAUCCAGCAGUAUUACUCCACCAUUCCAGAUGAAGCUUGAACUUUUUCCAACUCCAUUCUCCUUGCAUAAUCUGCUCCGCCAUGAAUCUGUUUGGAAAUUCAAAAAGAAACAUGUUGCCUGUCAUUUUAUACAUGUUUACUCCAUAUGCUUCGUUCCAUGACGCACUAGCCCAUCGCCUUAUAUCUGCUAAAGUGGGUCUCUCAUUGAUUUCUUUCCCAAAAAACCCGACAAUGCAUCUUUUUAGUAAACCAGAAUCCUCGCUACCUGUCGGUUCCACAACAGAGAUAUCUCCAUUGUUUAUGCUGACCUUUGCCUCUCGAAGGGUAUUGGAUUGCCAUUUACUCUCCU
rnacentral:lncRNA from 1 species